GUGAGCAGAGCAGAGAUGUCCAAACUGAAGAGGAUCAGAGGAGAAACACGCCGUCACUCGACGGAGAAGGAGGGACUGCGCUGAAAGACAAGAGAGGAAGAGGUGGAAAAGGAGGAGGAGGCACCAACCACCCACAGAGAGAAACUUUCCUCAUACAGACUCACUGCUUGAAACCUCUCGCUGUAUUUACGUCUGGAGGUUCAGCAGCUGAGCUUCGACUCCCUGACGAAGAAAACCUGAAAGAAAAGACGGAAAAAGACGAGAAGAAAAACUGCAGAAGAAGAGACAAACGUUGAGAUGAAGAGCUCAGAGUGUUAAAGUUUCCUUCAACAGCAGACAGAACUAAAGUUCAGCUGACCUAAGAGGAGCACACUUACAGAGGUGCAUCAUGGGAAGUCCAUAAAGACACAGACCUGAGCGCCUUCAUCCACCACACCCACCCAGCAUGCUGGCCAGGUUCUCCCAGGGACGGAGCUCUCCGGGUGGGGCAGGAGGGCUGCUGCUGCUCCCUCUGCUCCUGGGACUGAUGAUGAUGAUGAUGACGAUGGAGGCAGCGAGCGUUGAAGAACUGGAGAGCGAGGAGAGUCAGGAGAUCCUGGAGGAGGAGGAGGCCACCAGCACUGAGAUCCUGGAGCCGCUGUCCUCCGAUCUGUCCAGAGUGUCUCCUCUCAGCUCCUGGCUGAUCUUCAGAAGAAACUCCAACAAGGGGGACAACCGCAGAACCAAAGGGUCCAGGAGGACCUCCAAGCAUGGUCUUCCAGGCCCCCCAGGCCCUCCGGGACCCCAGGGGCCUCCGGGCCCCCCCGCCCCCCUGCUGCCCCAACAACAGGAGCUCAUCCAGGAGCUGCAGCUCAAACUGAGAGAUAUGACAGCAGGAGUGUGUUUUCUGUGCGAUCGGCCUCCUCGUGUGUCCACCUCCUUCCUCAGUCGCCUCCCGCAGGCCAUCACUGUCCCGCGGCGCAGCCUGUUAGAGCUGCAGCCAUUCAGCCAGCCUUCAGACUCAGAGCGGAGCCUCCAGAGGGGACAGACCUUCAACAGCAGCUCCGGCCGAUACAUGGCGCCCGUCUCCGGCUUCUACCAGCUGACCGCCAGCCUCCUAAUAGAGUCUGGUGACAGAGUCCAGAUCCGGAUCAGAGACAGUGUGAGAGCCGCAAUCUGCAUUGAAUCACUCUGCCAGAGCAACCUGUGAGUACUGUACCUCUCUCUACCUCUCUCUACCUCUCUCUACCUCUCUCUACCUCUCUCUACUACUCUCUACCUCUCUCUACCUCUCUCUACCUCUCUCUACUACUCUCUACCUCUCUCUACCUCUCUCUACCACUCUCUACCUCUCUCUACCUCUCUCUACCACUCUCUACUACUCUCUACCUCUCUCUACCUCUCUCUUCUGCUCUCUACUGCUUUCUACCUCUCUCUACCUCUCUCUACCACUCUUUACUACUCUCUACCUCUCUCUACCGCUCUCUUCUGCUUUUUAUCUCUGUCUACCUCUCUCUACUGCUCUCUACCUUUCUCUACUACUUUCUACCUCUCUUUACCUCUCUCUACCUCUCUCAGUUUGUCAUGUUUCACUCAUUCGUGGAUUUCCUUUCAUGUCUGACCUGUCUUUACAUGAAUGUGUGUGUGUGUGUGUGUGUGUGUGUGUGUGUGUGUGUGUUUAGGUCUGUAGAGUCUGUGAUGGGCGUGGCUGCUGCUGGAGGAACAUUCAGCAUCUUACUGACAGGAACACUUUAUCUGCAGACCGGAGAGUACGUGUCGGUGUUUGUGGACAACGCCACCGGCUCAGCCAUCAGUGUCCUGCAGGACUCUCUGUUCUCUGGUAUCCUGCUGGGAGUCUGAACAAUUUAUAAUCAGAGAUCAUAUGUCUCGCCACACAGAUACAGACUUGUUACCCUGCAGUGAUUUCUCCAUGCACCACCUGUACAUCAUCAUCUGCUCCAGAAUGUUGGUGUUCCUGGACGAGACUUUGAACACUUGAACUGGACUCCAGCUACACCUGGCACAUUACGAGUCCGCUUGGAUCCACUCUGGUAUUCCAGCAGCACCCGGCCAGACCUGAUUAGACUGGACCUGACCCUACUUUAGUCUGAACUGGGUCACAAGGAGCAGUUUACUUUAUAAAUUAUCUGAUCUGAUAUCUGUCAACAAGUCUCUGUGAUGUGGGCUUGGAGGGAUCAGAAUAAACCACAUGACAAACUGCAGCUCUGCUUCCAAUCCCUGUAAAUUCUGGCCGAACUUUUCCACAAAUUUUACCAGUCACUCUGGGUUCUGGUGAGUUGAGCCAUACAUCGUCAAGCUACUGCAGAUUUUAUUCUCACUGGAACAAGUUGCCUUCUGUUUUUUUUAGGAAUUAUACAACAAUAUUGCCACUGUUUUUACUUUCUUCCGCAAUUUAAUUGCAAAAAAUGCCAGAAAACAUCAUAACAUGCAUCACAAAUUUUUGGAAAAGCUGCUGUGAAAUCAGACAUUUUAGGCCACAACAAUCCCAAAAAAGCCCCAAAUUUCCUGAGGGGCUUAUUGGCGCCCGUUUAUUGUCAACUGUGUCAGAAAUAGUUUAACACUCAAAAGCUGUGUUUACAUCAAAAUGUGUCGCAGAUUUCUGCUAAAUUGGCAAAAGAAAAUGCGAAUUAAUAUUUGUUGCCAUCCACUACUGUUACUUGAUAAUUAGGAGUUGAUUUAUGAGAUAAGCAGUAGGUGGCGCCAGUUCUCCAGUCAGAAAACCAGAAGAAGAGAUCGCAACAAGACGACGUAAUUAAAAGAGCAGCAGUGGAACCUCAAACAGUGAAACUCAACAGGUUGGCUCAAGAUGAAUCAGUAUGAGAAUUCAAUUCAAUUCAAUUCAAUUUUAUUUGUAUAGCUCCAAUUCAUAACAGAAGUUAUCUCAGGACACUUUUUAAAUAGAGCAGGUCUAGACCGAACUCCUUAUAACAUUAUUUACAGAGACCCAACAGUACCACCAUGAGCAAGACCUUGGCGACAGCAGCAAGGAAAAACUUCCCUUUAAGAGGCAGAAACCUCGGACAGACGCUUCGGCUCUAGGUGGGUGGUCGUCUGUCUCGACCAGUUGGGGUGAGAGAGAGAGAGAGAGAGAGAGAGAGAGAGAGACAGACAGACAGACAGACAGACAGACAGAGAGAGAGACAGACAGACAGGUGCACAGCAACAACAGAAUGAAGAAUGACGCAGAGAUCCUGACAAAUGAGUGCUGAAUGCCGGCGGUAAUAUUGUAUGAUACCCUCAUUCAUUUCCAAAGAGAACUCACAAUAAGAAUCCCAAGUCUGUAUCUUUGAGCGCGACCGACGUCCCUCUUUCAGUCUGACAUCUGUUUGUCCAGACAGAUGUGUCAGAGCCUUUCUAGUCUGUUCACAUAUUUAUUGGACGAAGCUACAAUCUGUGGACUGAGACUCUGCAGAAGGAGGAGAGCAAAGUGUCUGGCUCACAGAGAGUUGAUUCAACGUGGACGUUUGGGUGACUGAGUGCUGAGAAUUACUUCUCAUGUUCAGUAAUUCUCAAUAUCAGAGGUGAAAUCAUCUGCCAUUCACUUCUUGGAGUAUCCUCUGGUGGACGUUAGAUGAACUGCAGCCGUGGUUGUUGAUCUUUGACAACCUUUACUCGACUGAUCUUUGAAAGGCUGAUGAUAUUUAUGUAUUUCACUCUUCAGUAAAUCUUAAUAUUUAAGCAGUUUUGUGCUAAAGGGUUACCAGUAUUCAGAUUUUCUACAAGAACAAAACUAAAAACUGAUGAGUUUUAGCGGCAAAAAGACAUUUGAGGAAAAUAUUGUUAAUUAUCACCUGAACAUGAGCAGUGUCCUCAACAUCAACCUGCUCAUCAAUGUUUCUAAUGAGGAACAACAGCAGUGUUUCUCUGUACAGUUUGAUUCAAUGAUCAUAUGAUGUCUUUAUUUUACUUUAAUAUUAAUAUUUAUUCUCUGGAUGUGAUUAACAAGUUGUGAAUAAUUCUGAUAAUAAAACCUUUCUACUCGCUCUCUAAA